rnacentral:Y_RNA from 1 species
AGCUGGUCCGAGUGCAGUGCUGUUCACAACUAACUGAUCACAACCAGUUACAGAUUCCUGUUCCUUCUCCACUACCCCUGUUCACUUGGCUAGCCUUAA